AGCGAACGCUGGCGGCAGGCUUAACACAUGCAAGUCGAGCGGGCACUUCGGUGUCAGCGGCAGACGGGUGAGUAACAUGUGGGAACGUACCCUUUGGUUCGGAAUAACGCUGGGAAACUAGCGCUAAUACCGGAUACGCCCUUUUGGGGAAAGGCUUGCUGCCGAAGGAUCGGCCCGCGUCUGAUUAGCUAGUUGGUGGGGUAAUGGCCUACCAAGGCGACGAUCAGUAGCUGGUCUGAGAGGAUGAUCAGCCACACUGGGACUGAGACACGGCCCAGACUCCUACGGGAGGCAGCAGUGGGGAAUAUUGGACAAUGGGCGCAAGCCUGAUCCAGCCAUGCCGCGUGAGUGAUGAAGGCCUUAGGGUUGUAAAGCUCUUUUGUCCGGGACGAUAAUGACGGUACCGGAAGAAUAAGCCCCGGCUAACUUCGUG
rnacentral:rRNA from 1 species